rnacentral:rRNA from 1 species
GAGUUUGAUCCUGGCUCAGAUUGAACGCUGGCGGCAUGCCUUACACAUGCAAGUCGAACGGCAGCACGGGAGCUUGCUCCUGGUGGCGAGUGGCGAACGGGUGAGUAAUGCGAUCGGAACGUAUCCGUGGAGUGGGGGAUAACGUAGCGAAAGUUACGCUAAUACCGCAUAUUCUGUAGAGCAGGAAAGCGGGGGACCUUCGGGCCUCGCGCUCUUGGAGCGGCCGAUGUCGGAUUAGCUAGUUGGUGAGGUAAAGGCUCACCAAGGCGACGA